rnacentral:rRNA from 1 species
CAAUAGCAUAUAUUAACGUUGUUGCAGUUGAAAAGCUCGUAGUUGAACCUUUGGUAGGAGCGACCUGGCCUUGGGCGCAUGCCCUUGUUUGCCGUGUGUCGUAUCUGGCCAUCCUUUUCCGUCUCGGCGGGAAUCUUUUACUGUGAGUAAACUGGAGUGCUCAAAACAAGACGCUUGUUUGGUACAUUAAAGCAUGGAAUAAUAAGAUAGGACCUGGUUACUAUUUUGUUGGUUUGCAUAGCUAGGUAAUGAUUAACAGGGACAGUUGGGGGUAUUCGUAUUUAAUUGUCAGAGGUGAAAUUCUUGGAUUUAUGAAAGACGAACGACUGCGAAAGCAUUUACCAAGGAUGUUUUCAUUAA